rnacentral:rRNA from 1 species
GCUUAACACAUGCAAGUCGAACGGUAACAGGAGAAGCUUGCUUCUUGCUGACGAGUGGCGCACGGGUGAGUAAUGCAUAGGUAACGUGCCCCUUAGUCUAGGAUAGCCACUGGAAACGGUGAUUAAUACUGGAUACUCCUUCUUCCUUAAUGGAAGUUGGGAAAGUUUUUCGCUAAGGGAUCGGCCUAUGUUGUAUCAGGUAGUUGGUGAGGUAAUGGCUCACCAAGCCUAUGACACAUAGCGGGUCUGAGAGGAUGAUCCGCCACACUGGUACUGAGACACGGACCAGACUCCUACGGGAGGCAGCAGUGGGGAAUAUUGCACAAUGGACGAAAGUCUGAUGCAGCAACGCCGCGUGGAGGAUGACACAUUUCGGUGCGUAAACUCCUUUUAUAUGAGAAGAUAAUGACGGUAUCAUAUGAAUAAGCACCGGCUAACUCCGUGCCAGCAGCCGCGGUAAUACGGAGGGUGCAAGCGUUAUUCGGAAUCACUGGGCGUAAAGGGUGCGUAGGCGGUUUGAUAAGUCUGAUGUGAAAUCCUAUGGCUCAACCAUAGAACUGCAUUGGAAACUGUCAAACUAGAAUACUGAAGGGGCAGAUGGAAUUAGUGGUGUAGGGGUAAAAUCCGUAGAUAUCACUAGGAAUACCGAAAGCGAAAGCGAUCUGCUGGGAAGUUAUUGACGCUGAGGCACGAAAGCGUGGGGAGCAAACGGGAUUAGAUACCCCGGUAGUCCACGCCCUAAACGAUGAAUGCUAGUCGUCGGAAAGCUCGUCUUUUCGGUGAUGCAGUUAACACAUUAAGCAUUCCGCCUGGGGAGUACGGUCGCAAGA